CUUCAAGAGAAUGAGGUAGAGAUCAUGUGAUGAGAACAGUUUCAUCUUGUCAAAGUCAAGUCCGUGGGUCCACCAGCUUCUAUCCCAAGUGACAACUUUAGUUCCAGAGGCAACUUGGAGGAUCUCUGCUGGUCACCACAGGCUUCACUCACUCCAAGAAUAAUAUUACCUACAAUCACAACAACCAUGACAAUGAGGAGGAGGAGACUUGGACACACUCACAUGUCACUGAACACUAGGGGUGGAAAUUUUACUGAAGCACUAUCAUCUGAAUUUCUGACAAAGCACAUACCUGGUAUUUAAUAGAACAUAAAACAUUCAAACAGAGCCUUUCAAACCAAGAAAUGCAAAACAGAAGUCUUGGAAGCAACUGCAGACAUGACUUUUAAAAAUAACUUUUUUUCUUCUUUUAACCAAA